AGCUUCUGUCAAGGUUCAGCAAGCCUUCAGUUAUAUCAGCUCCAGUCUGGGUGUGGCUGAGGUGGCUUUGGAUCCUGUGAGUGGAAUGCCUACAAGGGGAUGGACAAAUAGACUGGCCUAUAAAAAUUAUAAUGGUGAAAAUUUCACUGAAGAAUUCAGCCCACAUCACCAUGUUUACAAACAGAGAUGCCCUGGACUGGGGACUGGGUGACCAAACAUUUGUCCCCAGAGAAUUUUUUUUUUCUUUUUUUUUUUUUUUUU